rnacentral:rRNA from 1 species
UGGGGAAUAUUGCGCAAUGGGGGGAAACCCUGACGCAGCAACGCCGCGUGAGUGACGAAGGCCUUCGGGUCGUAAAGCUCUGUCGGAGGGAACGAAUGCUCCUGAAGUUAACAGCCUCAGGAGGUGACGGUACCCUCAAAGGAAGCACCGGCUAACUUCGUGCCAGCAGCCGCGGUAAUACGAAGGGGGCUAGCGUUGUUCGGAAUUACUGGGCGUAAAGCGCACGUAGGCGGACUUUCAAGUCAGGGGUGAAAUCCCGGGGCUCAACCUCGGAACUGCCUCUGAUACUGUUGGUCUUGAAUCCGGUAGAGGUGGGUGGAAUUCCGUAGUGUAGAGGUGAAAUUCGUAGAUAUUGGGAGGAACACCGGUGGCGAAAGCGGUUCUCUGGAUCGAUACUGACGCUAAGACGCGAAAGCGUGGGGAGCAAACAGGAUUAGAUACCCAUGUAGUCCCUGAGCGGGCUGGCAAGGCGCAU